AGAUUAGUGUCUGAUUUAAGUAAUAAACUGUAAAUUUAUUUAAAAGAUUUUAUCUUCUAAUCUA
rnacentral:tRNA from 1 species